GACGAACGCUGGCGGCGUGCUUAACACAUGCAAGUCGAACGGAAAGGCCCUGCUUUUGUGGGGUGCUCGAGUGGCGAACGGGGGGGUAACACGUGAGUAACCUGCCCUUGACUUUGGGAUAACUUCAGGAAACUGGGGCUAAUACCGGAUAGGAGCUCCUGCUGCAUGGUGGGGGUUGGAAAGUUUCGGCGGUUGGGGAUGGACUCGCGGCUUAUCAGCUUGUUGGUGGGGUAGUGGCGUACCAAGGCUAUGACGGGUAGCCCGCCUGAGCGGGUGAACGGCCUCCAUGGGCCUGCGGUACGGACCAGACUCCUACGGGAGGCAGCAGUGGGGAAUAUUGCACAGUGGGCGGAAGCCUGAGGCAGCAACGCCGCGUGCGUGAUGACGGCCUUCGGGUUGUAAACCGCUUUCGCCUGUGACGAAGCGUGAGUGACGGUAAUGGGUAAAGAAGCACCGGCUAACUACGUG
rnacentral:rRNA from 1 species